rnacentral:misc_RNA from 1 species
AAGUCGUAACAAGGUUUCCGUAGGUGAACCUGCGGAAGGAUCAUUGACGAGAUUGAGUGGAUGCCGCGAGGUGUCUGCGAAUGACCUUCUAUUCUGUGCUUGAAGAUAUUUUUUAUGCGUACCUAAUAGUCUGAACAUGUGAAAACAAAUACAUACAAUAGUUAAAACUAUGAACAACGGAUCUCUAGGCUCUU